rnacentral:rRNA from 1 species
UACGUAGGGUGCGAGCGUUGUCCGGAAUUAUUGGGCGUAAAGGGCUCGUAGGCGGUUUGUCACGUCAGGAGUGAAAACUCGGGGCUCAACCCCGAGCCUGCUUCUGAUACGGGCAGACUAGAGGUAUGCAGGGGAGAACGGAAUUCCUGGUGUAGCGGUGAAAUGCGCAGAUAUCAGGAGGAACACCGGUGGCGAAGGCGGAUCUCUGGGCCAUUACUGACGCUGAGGAGCGAAAGCGUGGGGAGCGAACAGG